CAGCCGCCGCGGUAAAACGGAGGGUGCAAGCGUUAAUCGGAAUUACUGGGCGUAAAGCGUGCGUAGGCGGUUCGUUAGGUCUGUUGUGAAAGCCCCGGGCUCAACCUGGGAAUGGCAAUGGAUACUGGCGAGCUAGAGUGUGUCAGAGGAUGGUGGAAUUCCCGGUGUAGCGGUGAAAUGCGUAGAGAUCGGGAGGAACAUCAGUGGCGAAGGCGGCCAUCUGGGACAACACUGACGCUGAGGCACGAAAGCGUGGGGAGCAAACAGGAUUAGAUACCCCAGUAGUCCCUGUCUCUUAUAC
rnacentral:rRNA from 1 species